rnacentral:rRNA from 1 species
GAUGAACGCUGGCGGCGUGCCUAAUACAUGCAAGUCGAGCGAACAGACGAGGAGCUUGCUCCUCUGACGUUAGCGGCGGACGGGUGAGUAACACGUGGAUAACCUACCUAUAAGACUGGGAUAACUUCGGGAAACCGGAGCUAAUACCGGAUAAUAUAUUUAACCGCAUGGUUCAAUAGUGAAAGACGGUUUUGCUGUCACUUAUAGAUGGAUCCGCGCCGCAUUAGCUAGUUGGUAAGGUAACGGCUUACCAAGGCAACGAUGCGUAGCCGACCUGAGAGGGUGAUCGGCCACACUGGAACUGAGACACGGUCCAGACUCCUACGGGAGGCAGCAGUAGGGAAUCUUCCGCAAUGGGCGAAAGCCUGACGGAGCAACGCCGCGUGAGUGAUGAAGGUCUUCGGAUCGUAAAACUCUGUUAUUAGGGAAGAACAAAUGUGUAAGUAAAUAUGCACGUCUUGACGGUACCUAAUCAGAAAGCCACGGCUAACUACGUG